CCUACGGGGGGCAGCAGUGGGGAAUAUUGGACAAUGGGGGGAACCCUGAUCCAGCCAUGCCGCGUGUGUGAAGAAGGCCCUCGGGUUGUAAAGCACUUUCAGUGAGGAAGAACGCCUGGUGGUUAAUACCCAUCAGGAAAGACAUCACUCACAGAAGAAGCACCGGCUAACUCCGUGCCAGCAGCCGCGGUGAUACGGAGGGUGUGAGCGUUAAUCGGAAUUACUGGGCGUAAAGCGCGCGUAGGUGGCUUGAUAAGCCGGUUGUGAAAGCCCCGGGCUCAACCUGGGAACGGCAUCCGGAACUGUCAAGCUAGAGUGCAGGAGAGGAAGGUAGAAUUCCCGGUGUAGCGGUGAAAUGCGUAGAGAUCGGGAGGAAUACCAGUGGCGAAGGCGGCCUUCUGGACUGACACUGACACUGAGGUGCGAAAGCGUGGGUAGCAAACAGGAUUAGAUACCCCGGUAGUC
rnacentral:rRNA from 1 species